CCGCGGGGGGGACUUUGUCCCCUUCGCUUCAAUGGGACCUUUGUGUGGAUGCGCUGAGCCAUGGCUGAGCCGUGCCCGGUUGACGUCGGUCCUCCCAGCGAUGGCGGCGAUGCCGUCGGAGGUCCCGGUGGCGCCGUGGGUGGUCCCGGUGACGCCGUGGGUGGUCCCGGUGGAGCCGUGGGUGGUCCCGGUGGCGCCGUGGGUGGUCCCGGUGGAGCCGUGGGUGGUCCCGGUGGAGCCGUGGGGGACACUCUGCCGUGGAGAAGGGGGAAACGCCACCCGCGGGCGCAGCGCGGCGCCGCCAUCAGCGGCAAUGGGAGCGUCCCCGACCCCGCCGAGAGGGCCGUCAUACGCAUCGCAG
ensembl:lncRNA